AGAGUGACUAGCUACUGAAUCAUAGAAUUUCUUUAAAUUCAUGAUGUCGUAAGGGAAAAUAAUGAUAUUACCUUACUAUGAGUGUCGUCCAAAGCUGGUGCCAGAAGACUCGGUAAGACCAGAGACGCAAACGUUAAUCAUCUUAAACAGGCGUAAAGGGUUUGUAGGCAGCUUUCAUAAUAUUAUUUCUUACAAAAAUAAAGAAGUGGUCUGAUUGAAAGCUAGAAUCAAAAAGAGGUUAUAGUGUAUAACGCCUAGAGGAGGGCUGAUAUCCUUAGAUCCUAGGCAGAAUACUUAGGGCGAAGGCCACUCUCCACUAAUGAUUGACGCUGAGAAACGAAGGUAAGGGUAGGAAAUAGGAUUAGAUACCCCGGUACUCCUUUCUGUAAACGAUGAAUGGUAGUCAUUAGUAAAAUUAAAAAUUACUAGAGACGAAGUUAACACAAUAACCAUUCCGCCUUGUGAGUACUACUGCAAAGUAGAAAACAAAAAAAUUAGUCGGUCUCGAAGCAAACGGAGUGAAGCAUGUUAUUUAAUUCGAUUAAUCCGCAA
rnacentral:rRNA from 1 species